rnacentral:rRNA from 1 species
AUUGAACGCUGGCGGCAGGCCCAACACAUGCAAGUCGAGCGGAUGAAGGGAGCUUGCUCCUGGAUUCAGCGGCGGACGGGUGAGUAAUGCCUAGGAAUCUGCCUGGUAGUGGGGGAUAACGUCCGGAAACGGGCGCUAAUACCGCAUACGUCCUGAGGGAGAAAGUGGGGGAUCUUCGGACCUCACGCUAUCAGAUGAGCCUAGGUCGGAUUAGCUAGUUGGUGGGGUAAAGGCCUACCAAGGCGACGAUGACUAGGGGGAUCUGAGAGGAUGACCCCCCCACACUGGUACUGAGACACGGACCAGACUCCUACGGGAGGCAGCAGUAAGGAAUAUUGGUCAAUGGAGGGAACUCUGAACCAGCCAUGCCGCGUGCAGGAAGACAGCCCUCUGGGUCGUAAACUGCUUUUAUUCGGGAAUAAACCUUUCUACGUGUAGGAAGCUGAAUGUACCGAAGGAAUAAGGAUCGGCUAACUCCGUGCCAGCCGCCGCCGU